CAGUCCUUUUUAAUUCCACUGUGGGAAAUACGGUUAUCUUUUAAGCUUGUUUUCGCUAAGUUAGCAUUAGCUGUUUAGUCACCCAUCGGUUUACUAGCCACAUAGGCUCUUCAGCUCGGUUCAGCUAGCUAGGUAAAUAGCUACAUUUCAAUUUCCAGGCAACAAUGGAGGGUCUCGAAACGAUGUACGAGGAUCCUAAUGCCGUGGACUUCAUUGACUGUGCUGUCUGCACCAAAUCCAUAAGGGGUGAUACCCUGUAUAAGAUUCACCUGACUACAAUACAACACAUCAGGAAAGAGGACACCCUGGUUGCUACUGGACAAGCUACCAGGGAUCAUGAGGU